UACGUAGGUGGCAAGCGUUGUCCGGAUUUACUGGGCGUAAAGCGCGCGCAGGCGGUCCUUUAAGUCUGAUGUGAAAGCCCACGGCUCAACCGUGGAGGGUCAUUGGAAACUGGGGGACUUGAGUGCAGAAGAGGAGAGUGGAAUUCCACGUGUAGCGGUGAAAUGCGUAGAGAUGUGGAGGAACACCAGUGGCGAAGGCGGCCACCUGGACGGUUACUGACGCUGAGACGCGAAAGCGUGGGGAGCAAACAGG
rnacentral:rRNA from 1 species